UACGGAGGGGGCUAGCGUUGUUCGGAAUUACUGGGCGUAAAGCGCACGUAGGCGGAUCAGUUAGUCGGGGGUGAAAUCCCGGGGCUCAACCCCGGAACUGCCUUCGAUACUGCUGGUCUGGAGUCCGAGAGAGGUGAGUGGAAUUCCGAGUGUAGAGGUGAAAUUCGUAGAUAUUCGGAGGAACACCAGUGGCGAAGGCGGCUCACUGGCUCGGUACUGACGCUGAGGUGCGAAAGCGUGGGGAGCAAACAGG
rnacentral:rRNA from 1 species